ACUCUAAGCGGUGGAUCACUCGGCUCAUGGGUCGAUGAAGAACGCAGCAAACUGUGCGUCAUCGUGUGAACUGCAGGACACAUGAACAUCGACAUUUUGAACGCAUAUCGCAGUCCAUGCUGUUAUGUACUUUAAUUAAUUUUAUAGUGCUGCUUGGACUACAUAUGGUUGAGGGUUGUAAGACUAUGCUAAUUAAGUUGCUUAUAAAUUUUUAUAAGCAUAUGGUAUAUUAUUGGAUAAAUAUAAUAAUUUUUAUUCAUAAUAUUAAAAAAUAAAUGAAAAACAUUAUCUCACAUUUGAAUGUGAAAAACGAAGAGAAAUAUUUUCUUUUUCAAUCAAAUAAUACUGAGAAAUGUCUAGCAUAAAAAAUUGAAAUAUUUUUCAUCUAGAAUUGUCUCUUAUUAAUGAUUCGGAAAUAGAAAAAUCUUGGUUAUGUUAUUAUUCUUCGUUGGUUCGUUAAAAAUGGAUAAAUAAAAACUUUGCAUACAAGAAUUAAUAAAAAUGUUAUAACGAAUUUAAUUAAAUGUUUUAUCAUUAUAUAUAAAGAAUUUAUGGCAAGAUAAAGUUAUAUACAACCUCAACUCAUAUGGGACUACCCCCUGAAUUUAAGCAUAUUAAUUAGGGGAGGAAAAGAAACUAACAAGGAUUUUCUUAGUAGCGGCGAGCGAAAAGAAAACAGUUCAGCACUAAGUCACUUUGUCUAUAUGGCAAAUGUGAGAUGCAGUGUAUGGAGCGUCAAUAUUCUAGUAUGAGAAAUUAACGAUUUAAGUCCUUCUUAAAUGAGGCCAUUUACCCAUAGAGGGUGCCAGGCCCGUAUAACGUUAAUGAUUACUAGAUGAUGUUUCCAAAGAGUCGUGUUGCUUGAUAGUGCAGCACUAAGUGGGUGGUAAACUCCAUCUAAAACUAAAUAUAACCAUGAGACCGAUAGUAAACAAGUACCGUGAGGGAAAGUUGAAAAGAACUCUGAAUAGAGAGUUAAACAGUACGUGAAACUGCUUAGAGGUUAAGCCCGAUGAACCUGAAUAUCCGUUAUGGAAAAUUCAUCAUUAAAAUUGUAAUAUUUAAAUAAUAUUAUGAGAAUAGUGUGCAUUUUUUCCAUAUAAGGACAUUGUAAUCUAUUAGCAUAUACCAAAUUUAUCAUAAAAUAUAACUUAUAGUUUAUUCCAAUUAAAUUGCUUGCAUUUUAACACAGAAUAAAUGUUAUUAAUUUGAUAAAGUGCUGAUAGAUUUAUAUGAUUACAGUGCGUUAAUUUUUCGGAAUUAUAUAAUGGCAUAAUUAUCAUUGAUUUUUGUGUUUAUUAUAUGCACUUGUAUGAUUAACAAUGCGAAAGAUUCAGGAUACCUUCGGGACCCGUCUUGAAACACGGACCAAGGAGUCUAACAUAUGUGCAAGUUAUUGGGAUAUAAACCUAAUAGCGUAAUUAACUUGACUAAUAAUGGGAUUAGUUUUUUAGCUAUUUAUAGCUAAUUAACACAAUCCCGGGGCGUUCUAUAUAGUUAUGUAUAAUGUAUAUUUAUAUUAUUUAUGCCUCUAACUGGAACGUACCUUGAGCAUAUAUGCUGUGACCCGAAAGAUGGUGAACUAUACUUGAUCAGGUUGAAGUCAGGGGAAACCCUGAUGGAAGACCGAAACAGUUCUGACGUGCAAAUCGAUUGUCAGAAUUGAGUAUAGGGGCGAAAGACCAAUCGAACCAUCUAGUAGCUGGUUCCUUCCGAAGUUUCCCUCAGGAUAGCUGGUGCAUUUUAAUAUUAUAUAAAAUAAUCUUAUCUGGUAAAGCGAAUGAUUAGAGGCCUUAGGGUCGAAACGAUCUUAACCUAUUCUCAAACUUUAAAUGGGUAAGAACCUUAACUUUCUUGAUAUGAAGUUCAAGGUUAUGAUAUAAUGUGCCCAGUGGGCCACUUUUGGUAAGCAGAACUGGCGCUGUGGGAUGAACCAAACGUAAUGUUACGGUGCCCAAAUUAACAACUCAUGCAGAUACCAUGAAAGGCGUUGGUUGCUUAAAACAGCAGGACGGUGAUCAUGGAAGUCGAAAUCCGCUAAGGAGUGUGUAACAACUCACCUGCCGAAGCAACUAGCCCUUAAAAUGGAUGGCGCUUAAGUUGUAUACCUAUACAUUACCGCUAAAGUAGAUGAUUUAUAUUACUUGUGAUAUAAAUUUUGAAACUUUAGUGAGUAGGAAGGUACAAUGGUAUGCGUAGAAGUGUUUGGCGUAAGCCUGCAUGGAGCUGCCAUUGGUACAGAUCUUGGUGGUAGUAGCAAAUAAUCGAAUGAGACCUUGGAGGACUGAAGUGGAGAAGGGUUUCGUGUGAACAGUGGUUGAUCACGAGUUAGUCGGUCCUAAGUUCAAGGCGAAAGCCGAAAAUUUUCAAGUAAAACAAAAAUGCCUAACUAUAUAAACAAAGCGAAUUAUAAUACACUUGAAUAAUUUUGAACGAAAGGGAAUACGGUUCCAAUUCCGUAACCUGUUGAGUAUCCGUUUGUUAUUAAAUAUGGGCCUCGUGCUCAUCCUGGCAACAGGAACGACCAUAAAGAAGCCGUCGAGAGAUAUCGGAAGAGUUUUCUUUUCUGUUUUAUAGCCGUACUACCAUGGAAGUCUUUCGCAGAGAGAUAUGGUAGAUGGGCUAGAAGAGCAUGACAUAUACUGUUGUGUCGAUAUUUUCUCCUCGGACCUUGAAAAUUUAUGGUGGGGACACGCAAACUUCUCAACAGGCCGUACCAAUAUCCGCAGCUGGUCUCCAAGGUGAAGAGUCUCUAGUCGAUAGAAUAAUGUAGGUAAGGGAAGUCGGCAAAUUAGAUCCGUAACUUCGGGAUAAGGAUUGGCUCUGAAGAUUGAGAUAGUCGGGCUUGAUUGGGAAACAAUAACAUGGUUUAUGUGCUCGUUCUGGGUAAAUAGAGUUUCUAGCAUUUAUGUUAGUUACUUGUUCCCCGGAUAGUUUAGUUACGUAGCCAAUUGUGGAACUUUCUUGCUAAAAUUUUUAAGAAUACUAUUUGGGUUAAACCAAUUAGUUCUUAUUAAUUAUAACGAUUAUCAAUUAACAAUCA
rnacentral:rRNA from 1 species